CCCCGCCAGACCGCGCGGAGGCCCGGGCUCGGCUCCCUGCGGUUGCAGCCGAGCCUCUCGUACGAUGCGGGGAGCGGCCGGUCACCGGCCCGGGCCGAGCGGGGAGCGCAGGUUUCAAAAUAAUUCUGAGUGAACCACAAGCUUCAUAAUCAACUCUGAGAUUAAAAAUAAGAUUUCAAGAAAAAAAGUCUCAGAAGCAUAUAUGCAGGCUCCAUGGAAAGGAACAAAAGUUUCCAAGAUCAAAGGCUUCUUGUGUUAAACAGACUCUUAACUACAGAGAAGAAACUGAUGGUUACCAGAGGGGAGGGGGGUGGGGGAUGGAUGGAAUCGGUGAUGGAGAUUAAAGAAUAUACUUGUCAAGAUAAGCACCCAGCAAUGUAUGAAAUUGUUGAAUCACUAUAUUGUAUACCUAGAAUUAAUAUAACACUCUAUGUUAACUACACUGGAAUUAAAAUAAAAACUUUAAAAUUUUUUUAAAAAACACAACAAAAAGCCAAAGACUUACUAUGUUAAUUGCUAGAAGUCAGCUAUUGCUCACUUUCCCUUUCUCUUUUUCUCUCUCUAGCUCUCUCUCAGCACUUCUCCCUCCUUGGCACCUUGUCUCUGCUAUUGACACUUCUGGCAUUUAUCCCUCACUCUGUUAACUUUCCCACUAUGAGAAGAUCAGAUUAUAUGGUCUGUUAUUACCCAACAAGAUUCUGAUCCCUCGGUCUAAUACACAAUGAUCAAAACAGCAGUUUGAGUUUUACUCCAAGCAUUCAGCUAUUUUUUUCCCCAAAGAUUUUAGUAGAGGAAAUAUAGCAGUAAAAUCCUCUGGGGCUCCCUAACCAUUGAGUACAAUCUGGUUUGGCAAACAGCUGAAAAAUCUCCAAGCCAGACUUAGCUAGGCAGAGAGAGAGAGAGCGAGAGCAAAAAGAUAUCCUAAGUAAUGACUGCUCUCACUUUUCUUCUUCAAAAUAGGGA
rnacentral:lncRNA from 12 species